rnacentral:rRNA from 1 species
UACGUAGGGUGCAAGCGUUGUCCGGAAUUAUUGGGCGUAAAGAGCUCGUAGGCGGUCAGUCGCGUCUGCUGUGAAAACUCGGGGCUUAACUCCGGGCCUGCAGUGGGUACGGGCUGACUAGAGUGCGGUAGGGGAGACUGGAAUUCCUGGUGUAGCGGUGAAAUGCGCAGAUAUCAGGAGGAACACCGGUGGCGAAGGCGGGACUCUGGGCCGAUACUGACGCUGAGGAGCGAAAGCGUGGGGAGCAAACAGG